UACAACAGCCAUGCGUCUCCCACUGCAGUUAAUAUUUUUGCUCAUUUUGCUCUUUUUUAUAAUUGGUGCAGCCAUCAUGUACUGGGUUCUUGUCUCUUUACCAGUGGACAGUGCUGUGGAGCUGCACCAGAAGUUCUUAAUGACUAAAGCUGCUACAAAGACUGCCAUCAUAGACUGUACCUUCCCUUCAGAUUGUUGGAGUUACAUUCACUGGUAUCAGAAGAAGGACGAUGAGACAUUGAAGAGAGUUCAGUACGUGGAUAUCAGUGAUGGCGACUACCAAAAUGAUCCUGGUUUUGAGUUCUUAAAAUCAGAGAAGAAAACAGAUGAUCAAUUUGUUUUGAAAAUUCCCAACUUAAAGACAGAACAUUCAGCAACGUAUUACUGUGCCUGCUGGGACUAUAGUGACACAGAGCACAUGUGCCAGUGUUUCUUCUGA